rnacentral:lncRNA from 1 species
ACUAAUACCUUUCUGUCUACAGAGCCUUUAGACACCAUAUUUUUUAUAAUUAAGUGAUGUUAUUUUUUUUAAGUGGCUGAAGUUCCUAAGAAACCUGUGCCUGAGCGAAAACCACCAGCCAUUAUAGCUGAAAAGAAGGAAAAGAAGGAAGUAACUGUCCAAAAAGUUGUCAAGAAACCUGUUGAUGAAAAAGUGGAGGUAACCACUCAGAGGGUUGCAGAAGUCAAAAAGGCUGAGGUUACCAAGAAAGUUCUGCCACCAAAACCUACACCAAUGGUCGUUGAGGAAAAAGUUAUGAAAAAGGAAGUACCAACAGUAGAAACAUGGACUGUUUCAGAAGAAAAGAUGUCAGUUUCUGUCCACAGAGAAGAAGAGUAUUCAUAUGAUGUUACAGAGCCAACAGAGCAUGAGAAAACAGUUGAAGAAAGAUUCUUUGAAGCUGUUUACCCACUUGAAGCUCGUAGGGAGGUUGAGGAAGAGGAAGAAGUCGUUUCUACAGAACUGGAGAUCUCUCACGUUGAAGGUGAAUAAAGUCUUUGCAUCAACAUCUGCCCCAUUUUUCUGAACUUGUAUGUUAUCUGU